rnacentral:lncRNA from 10 species
UAAUGCUGAUCAAUGGCCUCUUUAUUCUCUGCUUGUUCUCCUUCCCUUAGGCAAUAAGCCUGCUGGCUCAGCCCUAGAGCUGGGACAUGGCAAAGAGGUACGGUUUAAAGUGGGAAGCAAAAUUACUGUAGGCAUAAGGUUGGUGAAAUGGGAUCCCCAUACAAUUGUAAUGAUGAGAACUCCUCUGGAAGUGGAGAUCACCAGCUGCCAUGUUGGGAGGACACUCAGGCAGCCUGUGGAGGAACUCCCAUGGUGAGGAGUCUGCCAACAAUCAGAUGAGUGAACUUGGACAUGUAUCUUCCCAGGCCUGCCAACAUGUGAAUAGGCUGGGAAGCGGAUCUUUGACCCCUAUGUUGAGCCUUCAAAUGAAACCACAGCCCUGGUGAACAGCUUGUUGCAACCUUAUGAGAUACCUCAGAGCAGCAGUCCCCAACUUUUUGGCACCUGGGACCAGUUUCGUGGAAGGCAAUUUUCCCACAGACCGGGGUUGGGGGGUGGGGAUGGUUUUGGGAUGAAACUCUUCCACCUCAGGUCAUUAGCCAUUAGAGUCUCAUAAAGAACACACAACCUAGAUCCCUCUUCACGCUCCUAUGAGAAUCUAAUGCUGCUGCUGAUCUGGCAGGAGGCGAAGCUCAGGCAGUAAUGCUCACUCGCCCACCGCUCACCUCCUGCUGUGUGGCCUGAUCCUAACAGGCCAUAGACCAGUACCAGUCUAUGACCUGGGGGUUGGGAACCCCUGUCUUGGAGUACAGGUACCCAGCUGAGCUGUGGAAGAUUCUCAACACAGGGAAUGUGUAGAAUAAUGAAGAUUUAUUGUUUUAAGCCACUAAGUUUUGGAGUAAUUUGUUAUGCAGCAAUAGGUAACUAAUACACCAUCAAAUGCAUUUGCUCAGUCAGAUUGCAAGGCAGAAACUACUAGAGCUCCAGCUGCAACCCUGUUUUUCAGGAUAUAAAAGUAUAUAUAUUGUGGUAGACCAAAUAAUGAGCCUCCCAAAAUGUCCACGUUCCUAAUUUCCUGGAACAUAUUGUGAGUGUGUUACACUACAAGACAAAAGGGACUUUGCAGAUGUAAUUAAAGUUACAAACUUUAAAAUACAUUAUCUUAGAUGAGCUGAGUGGGUCCAAUCUAAUUACCUGAGCCCUUAAAAACAGAACUUUGGCUGGAGGCAGGAGAGAUUUGCCAGAAGUGGAAGUUGGAAAGAUUCAAAGUGUGAGAGGACCUCACUGUUGCUGGAAAAGGCAACGUGUAAAGCAUGAAAAUGAAGAUGGGCCGCCUCUAGGAGCUAAGACUCCACCCCAGUUGAUAGCCAGCAAGAAGACGGGGAUCUGGGCUCUGCAACUGUCAGGAACUGAACAACCUGAAAAACCCUGAAAGCAAUUCAGUGCUGGAGUCUCCAGAAAGGAAUGCAGCCCUGCUAACACCUUGAUUUUGGCCCUGUGAAAGCCAGGGAAGAAAAAUCAGUAGCGCCAACUGGGACUUCAGACCUACAGACGUCUAAGAUAAAUAAAUUUGUAUUAUUUUCAGUUCACUAAGU